CCUACGGGAGGCAGCAGUGAGGAAUAUUGGUCAAUGGUCGGGAGACUGAACCAGCCAAGCCGCGUGAGGGAUGAAGGUACAGAGUAUCGUAAACCUCUUUUGUCAGGGAACAAAGGCGGGGACGUGUCCCCGGAUGAGUGUACCUGAAGAAAAAGCAUCGGCUAACUCCGUGCCAGCAGCCGCGGUAAUACGGAGGAUGCGAGCGUUAUCCGGAUUUAUUGGGUUUAAAGGGUGCGCAGGCGGGCUGUUAAGGAAGCGGUAAAAGCCCGGGGCUCAACCCCGGCCCGCCGUUGAAACUGGCAGUCUCGAGUUGGAGAGAAGUAUGCGGAAUGCGCGGUGUAGCGGUGAAAUGCAUAGAUAUCGCGCAGAACUCCGAUUGCGAAGGCAGCAUGCCGGCUCCACACUGACGCUGAGGCACGAAAGCGUGGGUAUCGAACAGGAUUAGAUACCCCUGUAGUC
rnacentral:rRNA from 1 species